GAGAGGAACCGCAGGUUCGGACAAAUGGUACAUGUGCCUGCUCGACCGAGCAAUGGCACGACGCUAUCGUCCGAGGGAUUAUGACUGAACGCCUCUA
rnacentral:sRNA from 1 species